CUCUUCGGGGACGCACGGUUGGAAGUUGUACCGUGACGUGAUGGUCAGAUCGGAUGAUAGAAUUUUGGUGCGUAACAAUUCCAACUUUUGCUUCUGUGCCCUUCAAGUGUAUUUUAUCCGUGCCCCAGUUUUGCAGAUGAGGAGACUCGGACUUAAACCUCCCCAGCAUUAAGGCAAGAAAGGUGUCUCUGUUUUUUCCGAAGUGUGCCUGCUUGACUCCUUUGAUUUUUCUCUGGGAUUCUUCAUCCUCCAUCAAGUUGAUCGAUCCCUCUGGAUCUUGAGUGAAUUCUCAAUAAAUGUUAACUGAACUAUGUAACGGAACUGUUACCAGAAAGGGGUCCCGAUCCAGACACCAAGAGAGGGUUCUUGGAUCUCACGCAAGAAAGAAUUCAGGGGAACAACAAUAGCAGAGGCCUUUGUUGCCCUCUCCGCGAAACUGCCCAGUAACCUGGCAUUAGACGGGUCCCUGGCUGACCUGAUAAAGAAGCUCCCUGUACAAACAUCAAUUAAUGCAGGCAGCACAUCAAAGCAUUGUGGAGACAUGUCUGUGCCUCCCUCCAGACCAUCAAUUCUCAACUCAGGCUGCUCGUUAGACAUACCUGAGGAGCUUUCGAAAGAAACCAGUGCCUAGACCCCAUGCACAGAGAUUUUAAUGUAAUUGGUCCAGAUGAAGCCCCAGCAUAACUAAUCUGUAAAAGCUCCCCAAGUGAUUUGAAUGUGCAGGGUGUUUUGAGAACCCUGCCAUAGACCC
rnacentral:lncRNA from 1 species